UCUUCCCACCAAUGCAAGAAGGCAUAAAUUAUCAAGUAUUGAACUCCUGGAGUUUCUUUUUUUGUGCCUUCCACGUGAGCCAAGUUUGCCACUUUGCCUGUAACCCAGGGGUGCCCUAAAACUGCCCUGUGGUCAGUCUCUUCUUGGGAUCCAGGGUGAGGAUAUUUGGCCCAUGACCAGAGAUGAGCAAAGAUACAGGUAAGAGAUCCAAGUUCAAGAUCCCUGUGAUUGUG
rnacentral:lncRNA from 1 species